GAUGAACGCUGGCGGCGUGCCUAAUACAUGCAAGUCGAGCGAACAGACGAGGAGCUUGCUCCUCUGGCGUUAGCGGCGGACGGGUGAGUAACACGUGGAUAACCUACCUAUAAGACUGGGAUAACUUCGGGAAACCGGAGCUAAUACCGGAUAAUAUAUUGAACCGCAUGGUUCAAUAGUGAAAGACGGUUUUGCUGUCACUUAUAGAUGGAUCCGCGCCGCAUUAGCUAGUUGGUAAGGUAACGGCUUACCAAGGCAACGAUGCGUAGCCGACCUGAGAGGGUGAUCGGCCACACUGGAACUGAGACACGGUCCAGACUCCCACGGGAGGCAGCAGUAGGGAAUCUUCCGCAAUGGGCGAAAGCCUGACGGAGCAACGCCGCGUGAGUGAUGAAGGUCUUCGGAUCGUAAAACUCUGUUAUUAGGGAAGAACAAAUGUGUAAGUAACUAUGCACGUCUUGACGGUACCUAAUCAGAAAGCCACGGCUAACUACGUG
rnacentral:rRNA from 1 species